GCUUACGGCCACACCGGCCUGGUACGCCUGAUCUCGUCCGAUCUCGGAAGCUAAGCAGGGUCGGGCCUGGUUAGUACUUGGAUGGGAGACCGCCUGGGAAUACCAGGUGCUUGUAAGCU
rnacentral:rRNA from 1 species